AUACGGAGGAUGCGAGCGUUAUCCGGAUUUAUUGGGUUUAAAGGGUGCGUAGGCUGUGCGUUAAGUCAGGGGUGAAAUGCCGUCGCUCAACGACGGAGCUGCCCUUGAUACUGGCGUGCUGGAGUACGGAUGCCGUUGGAGGAAUGAGUGGUGUAGCGGUGAAAUGCUUAGAUAUCACUCAGAACACCGAUUGCGAAGGCAUCUGACGAAUCCGUCACUGACGCUGAGGCACGAAAGCGUGGGGAUAGAACAGGAUUAGAUACCCUGGUAUUCCACGCCGUAAACGAUGAUGACUAACCGUCGGCGAUAGACAGCCGGUGGCCAAGCGAAGGCGAUAAGUCAUCCACCUGGGGAGUACGUCGGCAACGAUGAAACUCAAAUGAAUUGACGGGG
rnacentral:rRNA from 1 species